AACAGAAGGUUGUGACCCUGCUGAGUGACCCAAACAACAGAAGGUCGUGACCCUGCUGAAUGACCCAGACAACAGAAGGUCGUGACCCUGCUGAGUUACCCAGACAACAGUGUUAAACAGACCCUGCUGGAGAACGGAAUCACAAAGCUGCAUGUGUCUUCUUUGGCAGGCAGAAAGCCAAUGACAUUGAUUAUUUCGAUCGAUCCUCAAUGAAAAGCAGGAUUCAAGUUUCUCAAGACCAUGCAUUCUUUGCCACGGCCUCCAAUGAUGGUACAGUCAAAUUAUGGGAGUCUGAAGAACUGGAGGUAAACAGUGUUGCUAAUCGCUCUAAACAGACCCUCAAGAAUACUUCUGUACCUGGAGAGAAAGUGAAAGGUUUAGUUUUCUGUGAAGCUCCUUGUUCUGCUCUCUC